rnacentral:lncRNA from 1 species
ACACAUUCAUGAUGAUGAUGUUGAUGCGUGCCCAAUUGUUUAUGCAGCCAUUUUAUUUCGGCACGCAACCAUUCACAUAAUUUUGGCACCUUAAGUCACCAUACUUCCUAGCAGU